AGAGUUUGAUCCUGGCUCAGAGCGAACGCUGGCGGCAGGCUUAACACAUGCAAGUCGAGCGGGCGUAGCAAUACGUCAGCGGCAGACGGGUGAGUAACGCGUGGGAACGUACCUUUUGGUUCGGAACAACACAGGGAAACUUGUGCUAAUACCGGAUAAGCCCUUACGGGGAAAGAUUUAUCGCCGAAAGAUCGGCCCGCGUCUGAUUAGCUAGUUGGUGAGGUAAUGGCUCACCAAGGCGACGAUCAGUAGCUGGUCUGAGAGGAUGAUCAGCCACAUUGGGACUGAGACACGGCCCAAACUCCUACGGGAGGCAGCAGUGGGGAAUAUUGGACAAUGGGCGCAAGCCUGAUCCAGCCAUGCCGCGUGAGUGAUGAAGGCCCUAAGGUUGUAAAGCUCUUUUGUGCGGGAAGAUAAUGACGGUACCGCAAGAAUAAGCCCCGGCUAACUUCGUGCCAGCAGCCGCGGUAAUACGAAGGGGGCUAGCGUUGCUCGGAAUCACUGGGCGUAAAGGGUGCGUAGGCGGGUCUUUAAGUCAGGGGUGAAAUCCUGGAGCUCAACUCCAGAACUGCCUUUGAUACUGAAGAUCUUGAGUUCGGGAGAGGUGAGUGGAACUGCGAGUGUAGAGGUGAAAUUCGUAGAUAUUCGCAAGAACACCAGUGGCGAAGGCGGCUCACUGGCCCGAUACUGACGCUGAGGCACGAAAGCGUGGGGAGCAAACAGGAUUAGAUACCCUAGUAGUCC
rnacentral:rRNA from 1 species